GGACCCCCACCAUGACUAUUACAGCCCAAGUUUUUAUUCUGAGAGCAUCAACGUCUUCGCGUCCUGUCCUGCUGGGUACUACCUGAUACCUGACCAGAAGUUGUGUGCUGCAUGCCCCUUCGGCAGUUGGUCGGACACAGGGGAGAACUCCUGCGCACCGAAACGACCUGCACAGAACGAGAACGAACCACAGCGAGAUCGAUUUCGAAGAUGUUAUUGGUGGUGGUACCCUAGCUGUGGGUGGUGCGUGGCAGGCUGGGCGGCUGCCUUCGCCUGCGCUGGCGCCGUGGCCGUGGCACACGCCAGAGGGGGCAGG